CAGUCGCCACGGUAAUACGAAGGGGGCUAGCGUUGUUCGGAUUAACUGGGCGUAAAGGGCGCGUAGGCGGGUUUUUAAGCCAGAGGUGAAAUCCCAAGGCUCAACCUUGGAACUGCCUUUGAUACUGGAAGUCUUGAGUCCGGGAGAGGUGAGUGGAACUGCGAGUGUAGAGGUGAAAUUCGUAGAUAUUCGCAAGAACACCAGUGGCGAAGGCGGCUCACUGGCCCGGUACUGACGCUGAGGCGCGAAAGCGUGGGGAGCAAACAGGAUUAGAGACCCCUGUAGUCCCUGUCUCUUAUAC
rnacentral:rRNA from 1 species